AAUUUAGUCAAAUGUUUUUGUGUGGAUUUGGUUCCUGCCUAUAGGUGCAAUUAUGGACGUCUACAUAAACCGAAAUUCUAUAUAAAAUACAUUAAACAUGACCUGAGGAUUAUUAGCGCAUGUGAGGAGCGCUGACUUCAAGACGACUUCGGGGAUAUCUCGCUUCUUGAUCGAACAGAAGAUCUUCACGCAGAGUGCGCAUGCAUUUGGGCCCUGGAGGAGGUUUGCUCUGUUUUGUUGCUGCUCUGGAAGGGAGAAGGUGGCAGUGUGUCUCGGUGGAUCCGGCUGCUGGAAGUUCUGCAAAAAGCCAUUUACAAUGCACCACAG